UACGGGGGGGCAAGCGGUUGUUCGGAAUUACUGGGCGUAAAGGGCUCGUAGGCGGCCAACUAAGUCCGACGUGAAAUCCCCAGGCUUAACCUGGGAACUGCGUCGGAUACUGGAUGGCUUGAAUCCGGGAGAGGGAUGCGGAAUUCCAGGUGUAGCGGUGAAAUGCGUAGAUAUCUGGAGGAACACCGGUGGCGAAGGCGGCAUCCUGGACCGGCAUUGACGCUGAGGAGCGAAAGCCAGGGGAGCAAACGGG
rnacentral:rRNA from 1 species